UACGAAGGGUGCAAGCGUUACUCGGAAUUACUGGGCGUAAAGCGUGCGUAGGCGGUUUGUUAAGUCCGCUGUGAAAGCCCUGGGCUCAACCUGGGAAUUGCAGUGGAUACUGGCAAGCUAGAGUGCGGUAGAGGAUGGCGGAAUUCCCGGUGUAGCAGUGAAAUGCGUAGAGAUCGGGAGGAACAUCUGUGGCGAAGGCGGCCAUCUGGACCAGCAUUGACGCUGAGGCGCGAAAGCCAGGGGAGCAAACGGG
rnacentral:rRNA from 1 species